GCCGAAAUAGCUCAGUUGGGAGAGCGUUAGACUGAAGAUCUGUAAAGGUCCCCUGGUUCAACCCCGGUUUCGCAGCG
rnacentral:tRNA from 1 species